rnacentral:rRNA from 1 species
UACAGAGGUCUCAAGCGUUGUUCGGAUUCAUUGGGCGUAAAGAGUGUGUAGGCGGUGCUCUAAGUUCGGUGUGAAAUCUCCUGGCUCAACUGGGAGGGUGCGCCGGAAACUGGAGUGCUUGAGCGUGGGAGAGGAAAGCGGAAUUCCUGGUGUAGCGGUGAAAUGCGUAGAUAUCGGGAGGAACACCUGUGGCGAAAGCGGCUCACUGGACCACAACUGACGCUGAUGCACGAAAGCUAGGGGAGCAAACAGG